UCUUAGCCUUUCUUUCUAUAGCUUUGUAUAGGCUUUCGAUCUUCGUUCAGAUUCUGAUUCAUGCUGUAAAUUAACAGUAUAGAAGAAUCGGUAAAGCUCAGGAGGGAUAGCACCAGCCAUGUAGCACUUUAACGAUGAUCAUCAUGUUAGGGUGUGAUCGGUACUGGCGCUAUCUAUCCUGAGUUGCACGGGUUCUUCUUACUUUCCCUGUGGUAUAGCAAUUGCUAGCUGCUCCGAUGAUCAGUACUGGUCUCGAUCGGCUCCGAUCGGUAAUCGGAUAUGUGGCAUCUGGGUUUAAUUAGUACCAUAUAUGGCACAGCUUGUUCUGGGUAUAAUUUUAGGGAAUUGUAACACCAUGGCAACAGAAAUGAUCUGGUCCUUCUAUCCGCUUGAUCAUGUCCAACCACCGCUCCUUAAUUACUUUGCUGGAUUCUAAUCUGCAUGUCUGCCAAUUAGCUGCUGGAUCUCAUUUCUCAUACUUCUGACUCUUGCUGGUAUUUAUUUUUGGUCAUUUAUUGAUUUGAGAUUUGGAAUGACUUUCCUAUAACACGGCUAUUGAUCCUGAUUUCUUUUUGUUUCCUAAUAUAUCAGGUUACUGUCAAGAGUCGGAAGUUUCCUCCAGAAGAUCCUAACUUCUUGUGCCGGGAUUUAAAUCCCUGUUUAUCUUUCUCUUGAACAAAAUUCUAGAACUUAUUGAUCAUGAAGAAGUCUAAUAUGCUUUUCUAUUAUUUUAGCUAGUAUUUAUUAAGUGUCAGUUUGAAACCCUAGGUGAGAGCGUGUCAAGUAAUGGAAGCUGAGCUAGGGUUUCAUGUUUGACUGAAAUUUUUGCAGGCUUUUUACUGGUGGGUAUUAGCCAACUGUAGAUGUCUGCUCCUUUCCAACUCCGUUCAGAACGCAUGCCAGUCCUUUCACUUUCUUUUCUACAUGUACUUGUUCAUCAGGAUCAUUAUUAAUAUUGCCUAUAAAAGAGCAAAUCUGGUGUAAUUUGAAACCAUUUGGCGCUCUGAUUGAUUUAUUUUUAUUCCCGAGUUUUCAUUUGUUCCAUGAAAUAACUUAAAAGAUCAGCUGGAUUUUACGUUCAUUAAUUUCAAUGUCAGAUUUCUGUCCAUUCUCUGUUUUAGAUGCAACGUGGAUCGUCUGCUUGGCCAGUUGGGCCUUGUUGCAAAGCGUUGAGAUUUGAGAUGCCUGACCUAACUUUAGGGUACAUGUUGUCUUUUUUGUUUGGAGACGGAGAAAGCAACUCACUUGUAAAUAGAUAUCAUUGAACCUUCUGAUAUUAUGAUUGUAUAUAUCUUUAUCCUCACAUGGUAAUGUGCUUGAACAGGAACCCCGACCUCUUUCGAGU